AGUCGUAACAAGGUCUCCGUAGGUGAACCUGCGGAGGGAUCAUUACACAAAUAUGAAGGCGGGCUGGAACCUCUCGGGGUUACAGCCUUGCUGAAUUAUUCACCCUUGUCUUUUGCGUACUUCUUGUUUCCUUGGUGGGUUCGCCCACCACUAGGACAAACAUAAACCUUUUGUAAUUGCAAUCAGCGUCAGUAACAAAUUAAUAAUUACAACUUUCAACAACGGAUCUCUUGGUUCUGGCAUCGAUGAAGAACGCAGCGAAAUGCGAUAAGUAGUGUGAAUUGCAGAAUUCAGUGAAUCAUCGAAUCUUUGAACGCACAUUGCGCCCUUUGGUAUUCCAAAGGGCAUGCCUGUUCGAGCGUCAUUUGUACCCUCAAGCUUUGCUUGGUGUUGGGCGUCUUGUCUCUAGCUUUGCUGGAGACUCGCCUUAAAGUAAUUGGCAGCCGGCCUACUGGUUUCGGAGCGCAGCACAAGUCGCACUCUCUAUCAGCAAAGGUCUAGCAUCCAUUAAGCCUUUUUUUUCAACUUUUGACCUCGGAUCAGGUAGGGAUACCCGCUGAACCUUAAGCAUAUCAAUAAAAAGUCG
rnacentral:rRNA from 1 species